AGUCGAGCGGAUCGAUGGGAGCUUGCUCCCUGAGAUCAGCGGCGGACGGGUGAGUAACACGUGGGUAACCUGCCUGUAAGACUGGGAUAACUCCGGGAAACCGGGGCUAAUACCGGAUAACACCUACCCCCGCAUGGGGGAAGGUUGAAAGGUGGCUUCGGCUAUCACUUACAGAUGGACCCGCGGCGCAUUAGCUAGUUGGUGAGGUAAUGGCUCACCAAGGCGACGAUGCGUAGCCGACCUGAGAGGGUGAUCGGCCACACUGGGACUGAGACACGGCCCAGACUCCUACGGGAGGCAGCAGUAGGGAAUCUUCCGCAAUGGACGAAAGUCUGACGGAGCAACGCCGCGUGAGUGAAGAAGGUUUUCGGAUCGUAAAACUCUGUUGUUAGGGAAGAACAAGUGCCGUUCGAAUAGGGCGGCGCCUUGACGGUACCUAACCAGAAAGCCACGGCUAACUACGUGCCAGCAGCCGCGGUAAUACGUAGGUGGCAAGCGUUGUCCGGAAUUAUUGGGCGUAAAGCGCGCGCAGGUGGUUUCUUAAGUCUGAUGUGAAAGCCCACGGCUCAACCGUGGAGGGUCAUUGGAAACUGGGGAACUUGAGUGCAGAAGAGGAAAGUGGAAUUCCAAGUGUAGCGGUGAAAUGCGUAGAUAUUUGGAGGAACACCAGUGGCGAAGGCGACUUUCUGGUCUGUAACUGACACUGAGGCGCGAAA
rnacentral:rRNA from 2 species